rnacentral:lncRNA from 1 species
GGAAGCAGAACUGAUUAUCUUUAAAAUUGUUUCCAGGGCCAUGAUAAUGUUUCAAAUAUAACUGGAUCUUUACAGUCUACCAAGUAGUUUCCGGUCCUUUAUCUCCUGGGAUCUGCCCAUCUAUUCUUUGAGAAUUGUGGUCAUUCUGUUAUCAUCCCAUUGUAAGGAUGAGGGGACUGAGGCUCAGAGAGGGUGUGUGGCUUGUCCAAAGUCACCACCACUUAGCAGCAAAGCUGGGCCUCAAAGGUGCUUCCUAUGUUCCGAGUCCACUGCUUUUCCUCCAUGCCACACCAUAUGUGCCCCAAGACAUUUCCAGGCUGGAGACAGCUGCUGUGAAAUGCAGUCUUCAGGGACACUUGAUUCUUAUGAAUGGCACCCACCAAAAAAGAUAUGUCCAUGUCCUAACCCCUAAAACCUGUGAUUGUGACCGUACUGGGAAAAGGGUCUUUGCAGAUGGCAUUAAGGGAAGGAUCUUGAGUUGAGAUUAUCCUGGAUUUAGGGCAGGUCCCCAAUCCAAUGGCAGGAGUACUUCCAAGAGAAAGGUAUAAGGAGACUGGAGACACAGAGAAGGCCACGUGAAGACAGAGGCAGUCUUAUGGAGUUAUACUGCCACGGCCAAGGAAUGCCCAGAGCCUCCAGAAGAAACUAACCAGGCUGACACCUUGAUUUUGGACUACCGGCUUCCAGAACUGUGAGCGAAUACUUUUCUGUUGUUUUAAGACACCAAGUUGGUGCUAAUUUCUGCAGCAGUCCUAGGGAGUUAAUAGCGACAUUAACCCUGAAACUCUCCCAGUCAUGUGGUAUGAGCUGUCAGUCUCUCAGCAAACCCUCUCAGCAUGUGGCCUGUUGGGCAUGUGAGAUUCGUGAAUGGCUUGGGGGGCAGUACCAGAGUGACAUCGUCCCUCAGCAAUGGUCCGUGUGAGGACCAGCUGGCUCCUGCGCAGCCUGGAUGGCCAAUCUCUUGCUCCUCUGCCCUGCUCCCUUCAGCACCCGCCUUUACGUCUGGUUUCACUCCACACCAAGAAAAGAAUGAUGCCCCAACAGCCCUGGGAAAAGUGAAGCGGCCAUGGGCGAUGUCACCGUUCCACCAGGAGGAAUUUAUGAAGCCAGUUACACCUUAGCCAGGAAGUUGGUGGGGGGGCAGCCUCUAAUAACUGCCAGACUCUCAGCCCUGGCGGCUGUCAUCUUCAUACUUCCCCACUUAGUGGGAUGUCUUGAGGUAGUCAAAGGCAACACAGCCACAAUUAAACAUAACAAGAAAACAUAAUGGGACUUUGUCUUUCUAUGGGGCCUUUCAUUCUGAGAGCUCACCAGGUGGUUUUAUGAGCCUUGGGAAGCCCCCUGUUACUCC